rnacentral:rRNA from 1 species
UACGUAGGGUGCGAGCGUUAAUCGGAAUUACUGGGCGUAAAGCGUGCGCAGGCGGUUUUGUAAGCCAGAUGUGAAAGCCCCGGGCUCAACCUGGGAAUGGCAUUUGGGACUGCAAGGCUGGAGUUUGGCAGAGGAGACUGGAAUUCCUGAUGUAGCAGUGAAAUGCGUAGAUAUCAGGAGGAAUACCGAUGGCGAAGGCAGGUCUCUGGGCUAUAACUGACGCUCAUGCACGAAAGCGUGGGGAGCAAACAGG